CCCUUAGAUGUUCUGGGCCGCACGCGCGCUCCACUGAUGCAUUCAACAAGCCUAGCCUUGACCGAGAGGUCCGGGUAAUCUUUGAAACUGCAUCGUGAUGGGGCUAGAUUAUUGCAAUUAUUAAUCUCCAACGAGGAAUGCCUAGUAAGCGUGAUUCAUCAAAUCGCGUUGAUUACGUCCCUGCCCUUUGUACACACCGCCCGUCGCUCCUACCGAUUGAAUGUGUUGGUGAGGAGCUCGGAUUGGCAGCAGUUGGUGGUUCGCCACCGGCUAUUGCUGAGAAGUCCUCCAAACCGCCCCAUUUAGAGGAAGGAGAAGUCGUAACA
rnacentral:rRNA from 1 species